rnacentral:rRNA from 1 species
UACGGAGGGAGCUAGCGUUGUUCGGAAUUACUGGGCGUAAAGCGCGCGUAGGCGGCUUUGUAAGUUAGAGGUGAAAGCCCGGGGCUCAACCCCGGAACUGCCUUUAAGACUGCAUCGCUUGAAUCCGGGAGAGGUGAGUGGAAUUCCGAGUGUAGAGGUGAAAUUCGUAGAUAUUCGGAAGAACACCAGUGGCGAAGGCGGCCAACUGGCCCGAUACUGACGCUCAUGUGCGAAAGCGUGGGGAGCAAACAGG